rnacentral:lncRNA from 1 species
GCAUGCUCUGCGUGCGCGAGUCUGCGGCGGGGAAGGCGUGGUGUAGGAUGGAGUCAUGAAGUCGUCUACGGAAGCGACACUUCCUUUUCGAUCGAGGCGAGAAUUCUUUCCGUCGCCGCGUUAACUCCGAACUGCGCGAUGUCUCGCACGAGUUCCGCCGGGAUUCCUGUCUUUUUAAGUGAUGGCGUUUCUUCUCCCUUACUUAGGGUCGCCGGCUUUGCCUCUCGAGGAUCACGAUGCACGUCGACGUCAGCGAAAGCCGAGGAGCCGUAGUUGGAUUUGCCGAUUUUUAAUACCGUGCGCUCGUGGUCUCCGAGUGAUCUAGGUGGACGUUGAGAGCCUCUGCGAGCCGGCGAUCGAGCAGCUCCGAUGCCAUAGUUGCGAGCCGAGUUCUUAUGGUCCUCGUAGUUAGCAGCUCGGGACGCUGAAGCCGGCGAUCCCGAGCGAGGCGUUCUCUAAGGCGCCCUAUGACGUGCACCACAUCGUACGGGUGCGAGGAGUCUGGACGGGGGAAGAGCAGGUCGUUGAUGCGACUCUGGCCCACCUCCUCGGCACCCUGCUGCUGCUGCUUCUUUCCCUUCUUCUGCGACUUAUUUUUGCCGGUGCCACCGGUCGGAGGUGGGAUCACGAGGGCGUCCCUGGUCGCGUUCAGCAGAUCGAUACCAGCGAGGAGCGAGCGGGGGACGAUUAUGGCCACGGGCCUCUUGUUUUUCCCGCCCGGAACAAGGAAGAACUCGGGCCGUCCGCUUUGAUCCUCCAGAACGGCAUCACGGAUUCCGACAGCUCGGUCCAGGAUGGGGACGACCCGGAGCUCCUUCUGGAGGGCCUCUCCGGUCGGGCGGUUGCGGUAACAAUUGAAGGGUGCUCUCGAGACCUCGGAGGCUUGGCGCCUGUUAUAUUUGACGAGGGCUGCAAGCAAUGCCUCGCUGAGCUCAACAAAGUUCUUUUGGUGACGUGGAAAUCCAAUAGAGCCGUAGACAUCGCGACCAUCGAGGUAGCCUCCCGAAACGAGGCGUGAACGUCGGCGGAGACGGGGAUCUCUGGUGGGUUGGAGCAACGCCGCUGCAGCGUUGAGAGCUGUGCGUGUUUCCCGAUGUUUACGGGCCAAGUACUGCUCAGCAGGUCGUCAAAGCGGCGGCACUGCUCAGCAGGUCGUCGAAGCGGCGGCACUCCUCUAUCACCUCUCGCUUCCUCUCUCCGGGAGCACACUGGACGCGGCUGUCUCCUCGCGCUUCAGCGAUACGGCUUCCCGGAGGAGAGCGAGCAACCUAUCAACGGCGCCAGGUGUUGCGACCCGGUGGGUGGCUGCGUCGAACCCUGUGAUUGACUUGGCCACGCCAAGGACCACGGCGUAGUUCUCAGGAUCGAUGCAGUCGCUCAGGCUCUUGACGGAUUCGGGCGACUGCUGGGGGCAGCGGCCAACAGCCUGCAACUGUCAUCGACGCUAGUCAGGGCGGCGUCAUUGCAGGCUUUUGUGAAGUCGUACCCCCGUCGGAAUCUGGACACGAGCCUGACCGUAAAGGAGUCCGAUAAGGCGGACGUGGUAUCGGCUGCACGCUUUGCUCUUUCCCGGAAGAAUCUCUGGGUAGCUUCAUCCAUUACGUGAGUGGUGAUAGUUAAAUCUGUGGAAAGAACAAACGGGCCCGAAUGAAGCUAAUGCACUUUAGAUGACUUUAAUCUGCUUCACAUUUUGACACAACUUAUUAACCCAACCUAACGUAAUGUACCGUAGGUGCUAACCAAAUGUACUCUAGGGGAUACCUCAUGUACUUCAGGCCUCUCUCGUGGCCUCUAUGGCUUCCGCAUCUUCCUGUUCUAUCAAUUCCGUGGCCCAUGGGCCGGGAUGGUCGUGGCUCCUCAGCAUCUCAAGAUUGUGUUUCUGUACUCAGCUGUUUUUGAUGCUAACAGGACUUUUGCUCUUUCUAGGGAAAGUUAGCCACCAAGCUCACUAUUGUAGUGACCGACGGUUUCGGUAAUGUGGCCACUAAAUUCACGAUAAACGUUUGUGCCUCGCGGGGCGUUAUAUGGGUUUUAAUUUCCUUUACUUUACAUUCCUCUAACAGCUUUCUUUCUUCCUCCAGUUCAAGGGAAUCACGGUUAUAUAAAAUUGCGGAGUAUACAAGGCGCGGCAUCGCUCUGAUUCGACAUUUUUCGGGAAUAUUGCCACGUAGCCCGAGGUAGGGAGCCGUGUUGAUCGAUUCCUGAACGAGAUUAAUAGUGGUUCCAUUCCUGUGAGGUUGAUAGGUUGUAGGUUGAUGUGAGUGGUGAUAGUUUAGUCUGUAGAAAGAACAAACGGGCCCUAAACCUAAUCUAACCUCCUGACUUUGCAUGUCACAUCAUGCGUAAUCAGUCUGUAGAAAGAACAAACGGGCCCUAAACCUAACCUAACCUCCUGACUUUGCAUGUCACAUCAUGUGUAAUCAUUUCAUUUGCCAUCAAAUUUACUACUCGUGUACUGUAGUAUCUGAAACCCAGCGCAGGGCCAAGUUUCAGUUUCCAGUAGAGCCACCAUAAAGGUGAACAAUAAAUAUCUUUUACUCUUCUCCAUUGAGUAGGCCUUGCCCACCUGAAUUUUUGUGGAUUUAUAAUAGACCCACUCAAGACACAAUAAAACGCUGUUACAAAUAAGGCCUUUACAGUGGCUCUUCGAAUCCGAGAAGAGAACGGCCAGGAGGAAGUUUCGGAAAUUAAGUGUGUGAGGAAAGCCGUUCCACCCUCAAUUUAACAAAACAAAAGACUCGCUCUCUCACCUCCUCAUAACGCCUUAUUACUAAAAUAGGAUUCAAAUCCUCAUCCUCUGAAUCAUCCGAUUCCUCAUACGGGUUUUCAGGAAUAUAAACCCACCUACAGGCUCCCCAACCUCUAGACCCUCUACAUUUUCCUCACCUCCCUCCGAAUCAUCCACACCUGAUACUUCAUACAGGUUUUCGGGAAUAUCAACUCCCCCUACAGCCUCCUCAACCUCCACACUACCUACAUUUUCCUCACCCCCCUUCGAUACAGGUACAGGCACGGGAACAGAGGCCUCAGAAGGGUAAUUCAUGUAGAUUAAUCUUGCUUGAUCUAGUAAGGCACUGGCGAUUGUUGAUAUGUGGUAUUUGGUUUUAAGGUUCUAAGGUGAAGCUAGUCAGGGCGGCGUCAUUGCAGGCUUUUGUGAAGUCGCACCCCGUCAGAAUCUGGACGCGAGCCUGAUCGUAAAGGAGUCCGAUAAGGCGGACGUGGGAUCGGCUGCACGUCUUGCGCUUUCCGGAGGAAUCUCUCGGUAGCUUCAUCCAUCACGUGAGUGGUGAUAGUUUAGUCUGUAGAAAGAACAACGGGCCCUAAACCUAACCUAACCUCCUGACUUUGCAUGUCACAUCAUGUGUAAUCAUUUCAUUUGCCAUCAAAUUUACUACUCGUGUACUGUAGUAUCUGAAACCCAGCGCAGGGCCAAGUUUCAGUUUCCAGUAGAGCCACCAUAAAGGUGAACAAUAAAUAUCUUUUACUCUUCUCCAUUGAGUAGGCCUUGCCCACCUGAAUUUUGUGGAUUUAUAAUAGACCCACUCAAGACACAAUAAAACGCUGUUACAAAUAAGGCCUUUACAGUGGCUCUUCGAAUCCGAGAAGAGAACGGCCAGAGGAAGUUUCGGAAAUUAAGUGUGUGAGGAAGCCGUUCCACCCCUCAAUUUAACAAAACAAAACACUCGCUCUCUCACCUCCUCAUAACGCCUUAUUACUAAAAUAGGAUUCAAAUCUUCAUCCUCUGAAUCAUCCGAUUCCUCAUACGGGUUUUCAGGAAUAUAAACCCCACCUACAGGCUCCCCAACCUCUAGACCCCCUACAUUUUCCUCACCCCCCCCCCUCCGAUACAGGUACAAACACGAGAACAGAGGCCUCAGAAGUUAACGAAGGAAAGCACAUUUUAACACUUUGGGAGCACAAAGAGAACUUGGAAAAGAUCACGCACCGAACAGCACAGAAAAUACAAAGCAACUGAGAAAAUAGGAAGUGGUCUCUUUUUCUCCCUACUCACAGUGUGGAUGUUCAUACGAGCACCGUUGGGCGCUCGGAUACUUCCAUAACCCCUUCAACUGCGGCGCCUCGCUUAGAUUUUUUAUUAUAUAGUCGUUCCGGUGUAUGUAAGGACCAGUCCACUUCUGCCGCUGCAUCUAAGUCGGGCUUACAAUGGGGGCCACCGAUGGCAGCUCGGGGCGUAAAGCGCGGUAGCGAGCUGCUUGGUGAAAUAUACGGACUUCUGUGGCCGGCUAGGUGGAGACGGACGCCGCGGCGAGGAAUCGACAGGUGAGGCCUCCCUAGUCAGCAGGAGCAUGCUCUGCGUGCGCGAGUCUGCGGCGGGGAAGGCGUGGUGUAGGAUGGAGUCAUGAAGUCGUCUACGGAGCGACACUUCCUUUUCGAUCGAGGCGAGAAUUCUUUCCGUCGCCGCGUUAACUCCGACUGCGCGAUGUCUCGCACGAGUUCCGCCGGGAUUCCUGUCUUUUUAAGUGAUGGCGUUUCUUCUCCCUUACUUAGGGUCGCCGGCUU